rnacentral:rRNA from 1 species
AGUGAACGCUGGCGGUAGGCCUAACACAUGCAAGUCGAACGGCAGCGCAGUAAGAGCUUGCUCUUACGGGUGGCGAGUGGCGGACGGGUGAGGAAUACAUCGGAAUCUACUUUUUCGUGGGGGAUAACGUAGGGAAACUUACGCUAAUGCCGCAUACGACCUACGGGUGAAAGCAGGGGAUCUUCGGACCUUGCGCGAUUGAAUGAGCCGAUGUCGGAUUAGCUAGUUGGCGGGGUAAAGGCCCACCAAGGCGACGAUCCGUAGCUGGUCUGAGAGGAUGAUCAGCCACACUGGAACUGAGACACGGUCCAGACCCCUACGGGAGGCAGCAGUGGGGAAUAUUGGACAAUGGGCGCAAGCCUGAUCCAGCCAUACCGCGUGGGUGAAGAAGGCCUUCGGGUUGUAAAGCCCUUUUGUUGGGAAAGAAAAGCAGCAGGUUAAUACCCCGCUGUUCUGACGGUACCCAAAGAAUAAGCACCGGCUAACUUCGUG